UACAGAGGGUGCAAGCGUUGCUCGGAUUUACUGGGCGUAAAGGGCGCGCAGGCGGCCCUUGAAGUCAGGCGUGAAAGCCCCGGGCUCAACCUGGGAGGUGCGCUUGAUACUCGAGGGCUUGAGUGCGGGAGAGGAGAGUGGAAUUCCCAGUGUAGAGGUGAAAUUCGUAGAUAUUGGGAAGAACACCGGUGGCGAAGGCGGCUCUCUGGACCGUAACUGACGCUGAGGCGCGAAAGCGUGGGGAGCAAACAGG
rnacentral:rRNA from 1 species